GACGACCGGCGCACGGGUGAGUAACGCGUAUGCAACCUGUCCGUUACAGGGGAAUAGCCCAUGGAAACGUGGAUUAAUGCUCCAUAAUAUAAUAUAGAGGCAUCUUUAUGUUAUUAAAUAUUUAUAGGUAACGGUUGGGCAUGCGUCCUAUUAGAUAGUUGGGGGGGUAACGGCCCACCAAGUCGAUGAUAGGUAGGGGUUCUGAGAGGAAGGUCCCCCACACUGGUACUGAGACACGGACCAGACUCCUACGGGAGGCAGCAGUGAGGAAUAUUGGUCAAUGGGCGAGAGCCUGAACCAGCCAAGUCGCGUGAGGGAUGACUGCCCUAUGGGUUGUAAACCUCUUUUGUAUGGGGGGAAUAAGCUUUACGAGUAGAGUGAUGACAGUACCAUACGAAUAAGCAUCGGCUAACUCCGUGCCAGCAGCCGCGGUAAUACGGAGGAUGCGAGCGUUAUCCGGAUUUAUUGGGUUUAAAGGGUGCGUAGGCGGCAUUAUAAGUUAGUGGUAAAAUAUUGGGGCUUCACCUCACUACGCCAUUAAUACUGUAGAGCUAGAGAACAGACGAGGUAGGCGGAAUAAGUUAAGUAGCGGUGAAAUGCAUAGAUAUAACUUAGAACACCGAUAGCGAAGGCAGCUUACCAGACUGAGUCUGACGCUGAUGCACGAGAGCAUGGGUAGCGAACAGGAUUAGAUACCCUGGUAGU
rnacentral:rRNA from 1 species